UGCAGCUGUGUGUGCUGUCAUUACACAGGACACUAUGAGCAGAGGGAAUUACAUCUCUGCAGCUUACCGAGUUAGGUUUGAAGCAAAGAAGAAAAAAAAGGCGGAUUCAGCAGUGAAACAUUCUCCGGUGAGAGAAAUUUUGAAUUUUUUUUCCUGAAUGAAAUGUGCAAAUGGAAGGCUACUGGUAUACUGUUAACUAUGAAACUAUGUGAGUCUGGAGAACAGCUGUUUAAUUUGAGGGGGACAGAGUCAGAGAUGUAGAGACUGUGAUAAUAAUGAGAUAAUCAGGGCACAGAGUCAGAGAUGUAGAGACGGUGAUAAUAAUGAGAUAAUCAGGACACAGAGUCAGAGAUAUAGAGCAGGUGAUAAUAAUGAGAUAAUCAGGGCACAGAGUCAGAGAUAUAGAGACGGUGAUAAUAAUGAGAUAAUCAGGGCACAGAGUCAGAGAUAUAGAGCAGGUGAUAAUAAUGAGAUAAUCAGGGCACAGAGUCAGAGAUAUAGAGCAGGUGAUAAUAAUGAGAUAAUCAGGGCACAGAGUCAGAGAUGUAGAGACGGUGAUAAUA